GCAUAUCCAAUAAGCGGAGGGAAAAGAAACCAACAGGGAUUGCCCCCAGUAACGGCGAAGUGAAGCGGCAACAGCUCAAAUUUGAAAUCUGGCCUCGUGCCCGAGUUGUAAUUUGUAGAGGAUGCUUUUGGCGACGCGCCUUCCGAGUUCCCUGGAACGGGACGCCAUAGAGGGUGAGAGCCCCGUCCGGUCGUGCGCCUAGCCUCUGUAAAGCUCCUUCGACGAGUCGAGUAGUUUGGGAAUGCUGCUCUAAAUGGGAGGUAUACGUCUUCUAAAGCUAAAUACCGGCCAGAGACCGAUAGCGCACAAGUAGAGUGAUCGAAAGAUGAAAAGCACUUUGAAAAGAGGGUUAAAUAGUACGUGAAAUUGCUGAAAGGGAAGCGCUUAUGACCAGACUUGGGCGCGGCGGAUCAUCCGGCGUUCUCGCCGGUGCACUCCACCGCCCCAGGCCAGCAUCAGUUCGCGCCGGGGGACAAAGGCUUCGGGAAUGUGGCUCUCUCGGGAGUGUUAUAGCCCGCUGCGUAAUACCCUGGCGCGGACUGAGGUCCGCGCUCUGCAAGGAUGCUGGCGUAAUGGUCAUCAGUGACCCGUCUUGAAACACGGACCAAGGAGUCGUCUUCGUAUGCGAGUGUUCGGGUGUCAAACCCCUACGCGGAAUGAAAGUGAACGUAGGAGAGAGCUUCGGCGCAUCUCCGACCGAUCCUGAUGUUCUCGGAUGGAUUUGAGUAAGAGCAUACGGGGCCGGACCCGAAAGAAGGUGAACUAUGCCUGUGUAGGGUGAAGCCAGAGGAAACUCUGGUGGAGGCUCGCAGCGGUUCUGACGUGCAAAUCGAUCGUCAAACAUGGGCAUGGGGGCGAAAGACUAAUCGAACCUUCUAGUAGCUGGUUUUCCGCCGAAGU
rnacentral:rRNA from 1 species